UGGUGAUAGUUUCAUGGAGCUGCUGGUC
rnacentral:piRNA from 1 species